rnacentral:rRNA from 1 species
AUUGAACGCUGGCGGCAGGCUUAACACAUGCAAGUCGAGCGGAGCGAGGGUGCUUGCACCUUAGCUUAGCGGCGGACGGGUGAGUAAUGCUUAGGAAUCUGCCUAUUAGUGGGGGACAACAUUCCGAAAGGAAUGCUAAUACCGCAUACGCCCUACGAGGGAAAGCAGGGGAUCUUCGGACCUUGCGCUAAUAGAUGAGCCUAAGUCGGAGUAGCUAGUUGGUGGGGUAAAGGCCUACCAAGGCGACGAUCUGUAGCGGGUCUGAGAGGAUGAUCCGCCACACUGGGACUGAGACACGGCCCAGACUCCUACGGGAGGCAGCAGUGGGGAAUUUUGGACAACGGGGGCAACCCUGAUCCAGCCAUGCCGCGUGCGGGAAGAAGGCCUUCGGGUUGUAAACCGCUUUCGGACAGAAAGAAAUCGCAUGGGCUAAUACCCUGUGUGGAUGACGGUACUGUAAGAAGAAGCACCGGCUAACUACGUGCCAGCCGCCGCCGUAA